rnacentral:rRNA from 1 species
AAACCAACUGGGAUUACCUUAGUAACGGCGAGUGAAGCGGUAAAAGCUCAAAUUUGAAAUCUGGUACUUUCAGUGCCCGAGUUGUAAUUUGUAGAAUUUGUCUUUGAUUAGGUCCUUGUCUAUGUUCCUUGGAACAGGACGUCAUAGAGGGUGAGAAUCCCGUUUGGCGAGGAUACCUUUUUCUGUAAGACUUUUUCGAAGAGUCGAGUUGUUUGGGAAUGCAGCUCAAAGUGGGUGGUAAAUUCCAUCUAAAGCUAAAUAUUGGCGAGAGACCGAUAGCGAACAAGUACAGUGAUGGAAAGAUGAAAAGAACCUUGAAAAGAGAGUGAAAAAGUACGUGAAAUUGUUGAAAGGGAAGGGCAUUUGAUCAGACAUGGUGUUUUUUGCAUGCACUCGCCUCUCGUGGGCUUGGGCCUCUCAAAAAUUUCACUGGGCCAACAUCAAUUCUGGCAGUAGGAUAAAUCAUUAAGAAUGUAGCUACCUCGGUAGUGUUAUAGCUUAUUGGAAUACUGCUAGCUGGG